GACUUUCUUGGCAUGAUAAGGGGUACAGAGAGUCGACUCUGCUGGUUGGAAACCACAGAAAUACAACGCCUGAAUCACAAGGGAUUCCCUUAUUUUACCAACGCUGAGGACUGUUUCCCUGGCAUAGAGUUCGUUGAGACAAACCUACAGCUGCUUACCACUGAACCUCACCAUGACCCUUCAGCUGUCGUUCUGCCUCUCAGUGCCGGUGAGAUGAGCAGCACCUGGAGCGAUGUUCAGUUCUUCUCUGAAGACUCCUUCAGCUUCCAGCAGUCUGGGUCAGUGGACAUUUUAAGGUACUUCCUCAGAAUGAUGAGGGGUCCAGAGAGUCGGCUCUGCUGGUUUAUAACCACCAAGACAUGCUGGUUGAACCACGAGCUAAUUGUCAUCUGCACGGAUUCCCUUAUUAUACCGAAACCAAGGACUGUUCCACUGGCAUACAGGGUGUAUCUGGGGUGGUUACAGAAAUCAUUUCCUGUCACCACAUGGAGACUGUCACAGUGCCACUUGAGGAAUAUGUGGUAAAUUUAUUAUGCUGUCAUGAUGUGUAUAUGUAGAUAAUAAUUUUGGGGAAUUUUUUCUGUUGUACAUUUGUCUGCAGUGUCUACUUUUGUAGACAUUCAGAGAGUGGACCAGACUGGGAGGUAAUGCCAUGUUUCAGACCCGAUGUGUAUCUAUGCUGCUUUUCCCCUGAAUGUGCGUCUGUAAAAUUUACUGUGGGAGAUUUAAUGAUUCAUUGCUAAUUUUGCUCGCAGGAGACUGAGGACGGCCUUAUGCCAGAUGAGAUGGAGGUGCCAUUUAUUAUGUAAUGUAUGAUCCUCUUCACAGUUUAAUGGUGUAAUGCAUGUUUAACAUACACUAAGCAUUUACACCUGUUGUUUCUUAGCUACCAUCUUUCAGACAGAGGGGUUACAGACAUCGGACUGAAGCUGCGUGCUCUCCGUCAGGCGUUCUCUGAGAGUAAAACCUUUGUUUAGCUGUGGUUGUUACUCAGGUACAUUACACUCUGCUUUAACUUAUAUUGUGUGUUGUCUUAUUUUCAGACUCUGCUUGCCAGCAUCCACAACCAGAACUUCGUUUGUGGUUGGAAAGAAGAUUGUGAUGCGUCUGGCACCAGCUAACAACCAGGAUGUAUUUCGUGUGCACCUGGCCUAUGAGUCUUUGGUUUGAUUCCUGAGAAAGCCUUCCUAUCAGGAGUUGAUUAUGACAGAGCUCUUCGGGGCCCAGCUCUACCAUUACAACUUCCUGGAUGUGUUUUAUGAGCUGCUUCUCUUCGGCUACUUUGGGAACGGCUCAACACCUGAGGCAUUUGAGGGAGGAUUCUUGGAGUGCCUGUUUGCUCUCAUCAGCAUGUGGGACGUGGGCGUGUGGGAGCCUGCAGCAGAGCUGUACUUAUUGAUCGGCUUACAGUGCUUUGUGAAGUACUGUUUUCUCAGCACCGGGAACUCUACAGCAACCCAGCGGCCUUAUUGAGUGGUUUCACGGCUCCUCAGGCAGCAUGUCCAGCUGAUGAUGGACACUUUGGAGAAGCUGAGCAAUGCCAUUGCCUCUAUCCACCCCUCUGCCACCCCAUCCUCCCUUCCUCUUCACGCUUUUAUCUCGUUUAAUGUACAAUUGACAUUGUGGGAUGUUCGUCAGUUCCUGCUAUCUCUUUUAACAUUAAUAAGGCUAAAAAUUUUUAUUAUUGCUAUAAUUAGACCGCCAAAAUUCAUCUUUUCUUCCUCUUGUU
ensembl:lncRNA